rnacentral:lncRNA from 1 species
UUCUGAAUACUGCGGAAUUAUACUCGCUUACAGUUUUAAAAUCCUGCAGUCGUAGGUGAAUCCAUUCGUAGUGGGCUUUUGGAAGGAUCGUAUAUUUCUGAUGAUCAUAUCUCUCUUUCAAAUUUGUCCAAAGGACAUAUGGAUCUUUCACUGUAAGAUAUUCGGCUUUCAAGCUUUCAUGGAGAUGGUGGCGAAGGAAGAUCAUUGCUUUGGCGCGAUCCU